rnacentral:rRNA from 1 species
CCCUAGUGGCGGACGGGUGAGUAACGCGUGGGUAACCUGCCAUAUACAGGGGGAUAACACUUAGAAAUAGGUGCUAAUACCGCAUAACGGGGGAAGCCGCAUGGCUUUUCCCUGAAAACUCCGGUGGUACAGGAUGGGCCCGCGUCUGAUUAGCCAGUUGGCAGGGUAACGGCCUACCAAAGCGACGAUCAGUAGCCGGCCUGAGAGGGCGGACGGCCACACUGGGACUGAGACACGGCCCAGACUCCUACGGGAGGCAGCAG